rnacentral:tRNA from 1 species
GAGUCGGUGGCAAAGAGGUAGAAUGCUCGCCUUCCAUGCAUGUGGUCCGGGGUUCGAUCCCCGGCCGACGCA